rnacentral:rRNA from 1 species
AUGAACCAAACGUCGAGUUAAGGGGCCUAAACGAAUGCUCAUUCAGAUCCCAUCGAAAGGUGUUGGUUGCUAUAGACAGCAGGACGGUGGCCAUGGAAGUUGGAAUCCGCUAAGGAGUGUGUAACAACUCACCUGCCGAAGCAACUAGCCCUUAAAAUGGUAUGGCGCUCAAGCAUUCUCCCGAUACUCGACCGCCGGGGCAUUACCGACUUUGGCGGGCAAAUCAUCAGCCUAGCUUGGGUCUCGAAGCCCCGGCGAGUAGGAGGGUCGCGGUGGUGAGCGCUGAAGGGUUCGGCGUGAGCCGGCCUGGAGCCUCCACCGGUGCAGAUCUUGGUGGUAGUAGCAAAUAAUCGAGAGAGACUCCCUUGAAGGCCGAAGUGGAGAAGGGUUCCA